ensembl:lncRNA
AAUUUCAAAUGAACAAGAUGUCCUGGAAGCUGUAAGCAUACUGUAUUGUUAACAGUUUAACUUAAGACUUUGUCAUAUGUAGAUAUCUACAUUCAAAUGUGGUAAUUUGUGAGAUGAAUCCUUCCCCUAAUUUAAGUUGAAACUUUCUUCCAUUGCAAGGCAAAAAAUUCCACAUGAAAACAUAGAUCAGAGCUCAUAAAUCCAACAGAUGGCAGUCUCGAAAUAAAUCCUUUUUGAGACAAAAUUAAGGCCUUGAACUCACUGAGUGCUCAAUAUCUCCAUACAGGUGCUGUGUGUCUUAUGUUUCCCCUAGUUUCAGAGAGCCCAGCAACUUUUCAAAAAACUUUGAAUUUUUCCAGUUUGCUAAGCAUUUAAAUAUUUGGAAAUCUAUUUCUGUAGAUUUUAAGCUGAAAUCAGGACACUCUGUUUGUUGUCAUGAAAUAACUCACUGUAUCUGUGUCUAGAAAUAUGAGAAGAUAAGAAAUGAGUAUCAGUUGCUAGCAAAAGAGAAACAGAAAAUGGAGAAUGAACUUAAAAAAAAGAAAGAGGGAGAAAACCUAGGACAAGAAGAAGUAAUGCCAGCAUACAGGCACACCUAUUUAGCAAAGUUGGGAAAAAAAAGUGCUAAAGAGAAAGAGGCCGCCCCUGCUGCUGCCGCCCCUGCUGCUGCCGCCCCUGCUGCUGCCGCCCCUGCUGCUGCCGCUGUUCUGAAAGGGCAGCCUAAACGAAUGUCUGCCUCUGCGUAAAAUGGAUUCAAAUUGAUGAAUAGACAAUCAAAGAAAGUUUCUUCUGGUCAGACUAAAGAAGAAAAUGAAAAAUUGAAAAUGCAAGAAGAUUUACUGAAAGCUCAGGAAUGUCUGCAUGUUCUUCAAAGAGAGAAAACAAUCCUUGAAGAAAAGCUGAAGAGGGCGUUACAGGAAGCUGAAAAUGCUAAUAAGCAGCUUACAAACUUAGCAACAACUGCCCUUAUUCAAGACAAACAAGUUGUUCAAGAUGCACACAGUUACAAAAAUGCAGAAAAGGGUAAUCAUGAUGAUUCUGGCAUUGAUAUGAAAAAAUAUGCUAAAGAUGGCUCUAAGAAAGGCCAAAAACCAACUAAAAAUGAAGGCAGCAGAGAAGAUCAUACAGCGUCGCCAUCCAAGUCCAUUAGUGAAGCUGAUGAAUUAGUACACAAAGUACUAGCGAAGAACGAAAUGAAACAAGCAAUAAGCAAAAGGAGAAGUCCUGGAGAAAUGGGGAAAACUGAAGAAGUUGCAACACCAUCUCAAAAGAAGGAUGUUAAGCUAGGAAAAAAAGGAUUAACAGAGGGAAAGAAGACUGAAGAUCAUGGUAUUUCAGCAAGCAAGUUAAAAGAAAAGUAUCUUUUUCAGGAGCAAGGAGAGUCAUACAAACCUAAAGAAUUACUUCCUAACAUGGAAGAGACUCCAAGUCUUCCUACUUAUCCAUCUGUGCAAGAAAACAUGCAGUAUUCUUCUAAACAUCCUGAUGAGAAGCCAACAUCGUUGUUAUCUAGUAAAACCCAGCAAAAGUCAACAGCAACUAGAGCAAACAGAAAAUCGGAGUCUCCUUUGAAAUCAGACCCCAAAGGACUGGUUACAGCUAAAGUAACCUCAGAAGCAAAUGAAGGAGUUUCCCUGGAUAACAGGUAGGAGUAGUGUAGAGAAUGAAAAGUAUAGCUUUAUGGCCUAUAAUAUUUUAAUUCUUC